CUGAGUUGUUGAGAAACUGACGUCAGACCAAGAAACAACAUACUCAGAACAAGCAAAAGAUAGAAAAAAAUAUAUAUAUUAUUGCGGCAUUGUGGAUAAGCUGGAUAAGGUUAUGCACUGCUACUUUCUUUCAGAUUGUCUUAAGCUAGCUGCGAGUAGCUCUCAGGCAAGCAGGACCAGCAUUACUUUGUGCAACAACAACAAGAAGAAGAGGAAGGAGAAGAUGUUAACUCUUGCUGUGGGGUCUUCAUCAGCUGCCAUGGUGUCCAAGGUUUCCACGCAUGGCAAAGCCUUGGCUCACCUUCCAACCACACACUUUGGCUUCCAAGGAUCACAACCACCAUCGCAUCUGUUUAUACCCACCAGACCCUUUUCCUCCUUUAAGACUGCUGUUGCUGCUGUUGACUCAAAUGACCUCAGUUCAUCAUCUACAAAUCAUCCUGACAAGCAACAGGCCAACAAGUAUUAUUUUGUUGUUGCAAAUGCAAAAUUCAUGCUGGAUGAAGAGGAGCACUUUAAGGAGCUCUUGUUUGAGCGCCUUCGUAAUUAUGGGGAGCGUAAUAAAGAGCUGGACUUCUGGCUUGUGAUUGAGCCCAAGUUCUUGGACAAAUUCCCUAAUAUUAAUAAGAGGUUAAAGAGGCCUGCUGUUGCUCUAGUGUCAACAAAUGGUCCAUGGAUCACGUUUAUGAAACUAAGAUUGGACCGGGUUUUAUCUGAUAGCUAUGAAGCUGACACCCUAGAAGAAGCAUUAGCCUCCAAUCCUACGACCCUAGAGUUUGAGAAGCCAGAAAAAUGGGUGGCACCAUAUCCAAAGUAUGAAUAUGGGUGGUGGGAACCCUUCUUGCCUGCUGAAUCUAAAGAAUCAAAAGUACAGAGCACUUAACCUUUUCAUUUUGGCUAGUUUUUAACUCAUCUUUUGUUUUCUUUUUCUUUUUACCACUUUCAAAUUUGUGAGGAAUUUUUUUAAUGCACUAGCAACUGGCAGCCUAAGCUGCUGUUUUCAGCAUGCAACUAUAUGUGAGUUAGAUGAUUAGCUUUGACGGUGACGUAAAUUGUCAAAUUGCUUGCAAUCUAGAAAUUCACAUUUGAAUUCUGAAGAGAGAAUGCAAUAUGGCAUUGUGUAAAUGAGGAGCAUUCUAGAGUGAAGUCUAAUCUAGUGAAAAGUGUAGCAUGAGUAAAUUUUUGGCUUAUAUGUGAAGCAGCUUUCUACUGAGUAAAUUAGCUUCAAAAUCUUCACAAAUUCCAGUCUCAAAUAUCUGAAAAUUCACAUCAACCACAGUUUUGAGUUCUUCGCUAGUGAAUUUAGGAAGAAGAAACAAUGCAUCUCUGUAAAUUAUCCAUCAAUAGGCAUAUGGCAUCUGCUUUCUUCUUACAAAGAUGAUUUUGAGUUUUUUUUUUGGGUU
rnacentral:misc_RNA from 1 species